rfam:Colinus virginianus strain Texas jcf7180006227126, whole genome shotgun sequence.
UGCUUGGGGGCAUGGUCAUGCAGGGCUUAACAAAGAGGACAAUAGCAUGUAUAGGCGUAACGCGGAGAUUUCAGUGUGUCUACGGUUAGGGUCCUCUUGGG